GCUAUCGGAUUGGUACUAAGCCUGCGAGUCGUUGUAGCAAUACAAGGCAGACGGCUCAGUAACACGUAGUCAAUCUACCCUAUGGACGGGGAUAACCUCGGGAAACUGAGAAUAAUACCCGAUAGAUCAUAAUUCCUGGAAUGGUUUAUGGUUCAAAUGAUUUAUCGCCGUAGGAUGGGACUGCGGCCUAUCAGCUUGUUGGUGAGGUAAUGGCCCACCAAGGCUAUAACAGGUACGGGCUCUGAGAGGAGAAGCCCGGAGAUGGGUACUGAGACACGGACCCAGGCCCUAUGGGGCGCAGCAGGCGAGAAACCUUAGCAAUGUGCGAAAGCACGACUAGGUUAAUCCGAGUGAUUUCUGCUGAAGAAAUCUUUUGUCAGUUCUAAAACUACUAAUGAAUAAGGGGUGGGCAAGUCUGGUGUCAGCCGCCGCGGUAAUACCAGCACCUCGAGUGGUCAGGAGGUUUAUUGGGCCUAAAGCAUCCGUAGCCGGCUUUGCAAGUCUCCGGUUAAAUCCAACUGCUCAACAGAUGGGCCGCCGGAGAUACUACAGGGCUAGGAGGCGGGAGAGGCAAGCGGCACUCAGUGGGUAGGGGUAAAAUCCUCUGAUCCACUGGAGACCACCAGUGGCGAAGGCGGCUUGCCAGAACGCGCUCGACGGUGAGGGAUGAAAGCUGGGGGAGCAAACCGGAUUAGAUACCCGGGUAGUCCCAGCUGUAAACGAUGCAGACUCGGUGAUGGGUUGGCUUUGCGCCAACCCAGUGCCGCAGGGAAGCCGUUAAGUNCUGCCGACCUGGGGAGUACGGUCGCAAG
rnacentral:rRNA from 1 species